CCCAUUCCCGAUCACCCGGUUGGAUCCAUCAUCGGACCCCAAGAGGAGUCCGCGCAGCCCAGCCGGCAUCCCGAAACUCCUCCUUCAGCGGGAACCGAAGCAGAAGAGCGAUCAAGGAGGUCCUCACCACAGGACUCCUAUGGGUCCGACCCUGGGUCUCCCGCAGGCCCCUCUGGCAGUCCUCUUCCCACCCGCCGCCUCUGGCUGUGCCGCCGCCGCCGCCGACGCAACCUCCAGCACCGCCGCCCCAGGCCCCGCAGCCGCCGCGUCGCCGCCAUUUUUUAAAGGGUCCGCAGCCUGACUCUGCGGAGUAAGGGGGGGUGGAGCGGGGGAGUCGGCCUCGCCAGUGCGCAUGCGCGAGGCCCGAGCCGCCGCUUGGGCCACAGUGAAAGCCACCGUUGCCCGGGGAUGGGUCCCUGACACUUGGCGAAGUAGCAGCCCUGUGUGAUCGUGCGUCUGAGUCUGGGCUGAGACCAGUCCUGGCCAGGGUAGUUACCAGGACGGUCUCCGGAGGCCGGGAUUCGCGGAGGGUCCACCAGCAGGAAGAAACCCCAGGAGGAAGAAACCUCAGACAGAUCGCCGGCGAGGCAGCGCGGGAUCCCAGCCUCAGGCGUGCGCGGACGGUGUGCGGCGCACACAACCAAGCUUAGGAGCCGACUGUUAAGAUGCCCCAGUGACACGGACAAGUUUCUCCUCUGCAACCCAAUGAGAGCUGCUGACCACGAGAGCAUCGCGGGACCGCCAAAGGAUUCUGGAAAAUGUGGUCCCGGGUGGCCAGUGUGCGCUGACCUUCACCUGAAGGUACGGCUUGAAGGAAACUUCUGGAGGGUGGGGUGGUGUUGAAGAGAAGGCACAAUUGUCACCAUUUUGUUCAACAUGGGCGUUUUCUUUGUGCAUUGAUUUGCAUUUUUAAAGGAAUUUCUAAAAACAGAAGAAGCCUACAGGACUUUAACCUGGAAGCUACUCCGGGAAUCGGGAAUGUUUCCUCAGGGCACAGCUACAACUGAAACUUGUCAGGAAUUUCAAAAAAAAACAAAACAGACAACUUUGGGAUACGGCUGGAGGUCUACAGAUGGGUCAUUUUAUAUCCUGAGGUCUGAACAAGAUGAUUAUAGCCCCUUAAAAUGAUGUACACAAAAGGAGAAUAAAUUGGAAGAGAGCACAGAUGAGUGGUUUAUAGGGAGGACCUGCUUUUUUUCCUCUAGUUUUCAGGUCUCCUCGUUGCUGAGGGAUCCAGCCCCAGCUCUAGACCAAGAAAUGGGAAGAUUUUAGAGUGACUAGUGAUCUAUCAUCUACAAUUAUUAAACAUUCUCAGCAGUUUAUGCAAAAAAUAACAAAACCACUGCAGAUAACUAAGACUAGGUAAUACAUAUAAUGUUUCCCAAAUACCUACCCACAAGCUGAACAAUUUUUUUUUUUUUUUGAGACAGAGUCUCGCUCCGUCACCCAGGCUGGAGUGCAAUGGCAAGAUCUCAGCUCACUGAAGCCUCCACCUUCCGGGUUCAAGCGAUUCUCCUGCCUCAGCCUCCCAAGUAGCUGGGAUUACAGGCGUGUGCCACCAUACCCGGCUAAUUUUUGUAUUUUUAGUAGAGACGGGGUUUCGCCAUGUUGGCCAGCCUGGUCUCAAACUCCUGACCUCAGGUGAUACCCCCACCUCAGUCUCCCAAAGUGCUGGGAUUACAGGUGUGAGCCACCAGGCCCGGCCAAGCUGAACAGUUCUAAGCUGUUAGGAUCAUUGCCUCUAUUAUCACCAUGACAUCAGGUCACCACCAAACCGUCAAGUGCUAAACAGACAGAAUGUUUCCACUCCUGAUCCACUGUGUGGAGAAGCACAGAGCUUACCCA
rnacentral:lncRNA from 1 species